AUUGAACGCUGGCGGAAUGCUUUACACAUGCAAGUCGAACGGCAGCACGGACUUCGGUCUGGUGGCGAGUGGCGAACGGGUGAGUAAUGUAUCGGAACGUAUCCAAUAAUGGGGGAUAACUAAUCGAAAGGUUGGCUAAUACCGCAUACGCCCUACGGGGGAAAGCGGGGGAUCUUCGGACCUUGCGUUAAUGGAGCGGCUGAUAUCUGAUUAGCUAGUUGGUGAGGUAAAGGCUCACCAGGGCGACGAUCAGUAGCUGGUCUGAGAGGACGACCAGCAACGCUGGAACUGAGUCACGGUCCAGACUCCUACGGGAGGCAGCAGUGGGGAAUUUUGGACAAUGGACGCAAGCCUGAGCCAGCCAUUCCGCGUGAGUGAAGAAGGCCUUCGGGUUGUAAAGCUCUUUCGCAAGGGAAGAAAACUUACUUUCUAAUAAAGAGUGAGGUUGACGGUACCUUGAUAAGAAGCACCGGCUAACUACGUGCCAGCCGCCGCCGUAA
rnacentral:rRNA from 1 species